GGGAACUGCGUUNUGAACUGGGUGACUAGAGUGUGUCAGAGGGAGGUAGAAUUCCACGUGUAGCAGUGAAAUGCGUAGAGAUGUGGAGGAAUACCGAUGGCGAAGGCAGCNUCCUGGGAUAACACUGACGUUCAUGCCCGAAAGCGUGGGUAGCAAACAGGAUUAGAUACCCUGGUAGUCCACGCCCUAAACGAUGUCGAUUAGCUGUUGGGCAGCAUGACUGCUUAGUAGCGAAGCUAACGUGUGAAAUCGACCGCCUGGGGAGUACGGUCGCAAGAUUAAAACUCAAAGGAAUUGACGGGGACCCGCACAAGCGGUGGAUGAUGUGGAUUAAUUCGAUGCAACGCGAAGAACCUUACCUGGUCUUGACAUGUACGGAACCCUCCAGAGACGGAGGGGUGCCUUCGGGAGCCGUAACACAGGUGCUGCAUGGCUGUCGUCAGCUCGUGUCGUGAGAUGUUGGGUUAAGUCCCGCAACGAGCGCAACCCUUGUCAUUAGUUGCCAUCAUUAAGUUGGGCACUCUAAUGAGACUGCCGGUGACAAGCCGGAGGAAGGUGGGGAUGACGUCAAGUCCUCAUGGCCCUUAUGACCAGGGCUUCACACGUCAUACAAUGGUCGGUACAGAGGGUAGCCAAGCCGCGAGGUGGAGCCAAUCUCACAAAACCGAUCGUAGUCCGGAUUGCACUCUGCAACUCGAGUGCAUGAAGUCGGAAUCGCUAGUAAUCGCAGGUCAGCAUACUGCGGUGAAUACGUUCCCGGGUCUUGUACACA
rnacentral:rRNA from 1 species